rnacentral:tRNA from 1 species
UUUAAGAUAAGCUAAAAAAGCUAGUGGGUUCAUACCCCAUUGAUGGUUUGACCUCUGAAUU